AUUGAACGCUGGCGGCAUGCCUUACACGUGCAAGUCGAACGGUAACGGGCCUUCGGGUGCCGACGAGUGGCGAACGGGUGAGUAAUACAUCGGAACGUGCCCGAUCGUGGGGGAUAACGAGGCGAAAGCUUUGCUAAUACCGCAUACGAUCUACGGAUGAAAGCAGGGGACCGCAAGGCCUUGCGCGGACGGAGCGGCCGAUGGCAGAUUAGGUAGUUGGUGGGAUAAAAGCUUACCAAGCCGACGAUCUGUAGCUGGUCUGAGAGGAUGAUCAGCCACACUGGGACUGAGACACGGCCCAGACUCCUACGGGAGGCAGCAGUGGGGAAUUUUGGACAAUGGGCGCAAGCCUGAUCCAGCCAUGCCGCGUGCAGGAUGAAGGCCUUCGGGUUGUAAACUGCUUUUGUACGGAACGAAAAGCCUUCUUUUAAUACAGGAGGGUCAUGACGGUACCGUAAGAAUAAGCACCGGCUAACUACGCG
rnacentral:rRNA from 1 species